GAUUUCUGAACUCUCACUCCUUCCCAGCACCAGCUUCAGCCACCUUCAUGGACUUUGGAACAAAUUCUUCUCAUCCUUCCACUCUGCUAGGGAAAUCUUCACAUGCUUGGGGAAUGAAAUGAAAAACAAAUCAGCUUGGCAGAAAAAGGUGAGUCAGCUAGUAUAUGAGAGCAAGUUCCCUCUCUUCAAUGUGGCUGGAUUGGAGCACUCGGGAAUAUCCUGUUUUGAGAAAGUCAUUUUGUAUCCUAAGUCCAUCCCCUCUCUGGCAGGAGAGAUCUAAAAAAUGGAUGCUGGAUUGAAUUGGACUGAAUUGGGAUAUCCUGGGUUCUAACACUGGGGGAAUUCUCUGUCCAGGUGAGCUGAGGAAGGUGUUUUUUUUUUUCUUUUUUAUGAUGUUAAGGCAAUUUUUAAAAAAAGGAAAAUUUAUCUACAUGUAGGUCAGUUAUUUCUUGCUCAUGCCUUUACCGAAUUACUUGUACUCAGUUCUUUUGGGCUGCCUCAGAGUUGCUCUCAGAAACUCUCUUGGACUUGAAGCUGGAUGGGGAGAGUCAGACAGGUGUAAAAGGGGCGGGUACACCCAAAUACUCCGAGUA
rnacentral:lncRNA from 1 species